rnacentral:rRNA from 1 species
GAGUUUGAUCGUGGCUCAGAGCGAACGCUGGCGGCAGGCCUAACACAUGCAAGUCGAACGCCCCUUCGGGGGAGUGGCGGACGGGUGAGUAACGCGUGGGAACGUGCCCUUUGGUACGGGACAACCCAGGGAAACUUGGGCUAAUACCGUAUGUGCCCUACGGGGGAAAGAUUUAUCGCCAUUGGAGCGGCCCGCGUUGGAUUAGGUAGUUGGUGGGGUAAAGGCCCACCAAGCCUACGAUCCAUAGCUGGUCUGAGAGGAUGAUCAGCCACACUGGGACUGAGACACGGCCCAGACUCCUACGGGAGGCAGCAGUGGGGAAUCUUGCGCAAUGGGCGAAAGCCUGACGCAGCCAUGCCGCGUGAAUGAUGAAGGUCUUAGGAUUGUAAAAUUCUUUCUACCGGGAAGAUAAUGACGGUACCCGGAGAAGGAAGCCCCGGCUAACUUCGUGCCAGCAGCCGCGGUAAG